rnacentral:rRNA from 1 species
GACGAACGCUGGCGGCGUGCCUCAAACAUGCAAGUCGAGCGAGGUGAGACCGAACCGCAAGGUGAGGUUGAACCUAGCGGCGAACGGGUGAGUAACACGUGGGUAACCUGCCUGGAAGAUUGGGAUAACGGCUCGAAAGAGUCGCUAAUACCGGAUAAUGUCCUGGUGCUGCAUGGCACCGGGAAGAAAGGGGAAACCCGCUUUCAGAUGGGCCCGCGCCCCAUCAGCUAGUUGGUAAGGUAACGGCUUACCAAGGCGACGACGGGUAGCCGGUCUGAGAGGACGAUCGGCCACACUGGGACUGAGAUACGGCCCAGACUCCUACGGGAGGCAGCAGUUGGGAAUCUUAGGCAAUGGGCGAAAGCCUGACCUAGCGACGCCGCGUGAGGGAAGAAGGCCUUCGGUCGUAAACCUCUGUCAUGGGGACGAAGAAAGUAGACGGUACCCCACGGAGGAAGCCCCUGCUAACUACGUG